UGAACACCUGCUGAUGGAGAGUGAA
rnacentral:piRNA from 1 species